rnacentral:rRNA from 1 species
CGAGGGUGCCUUCGGGUAGCCUGGACACAGGUGCUGCAUGGCUGUCGUCAGCUCGUGUCGUGAGAUGUUCGGGUUAAGUCCCGCAACGAGCGCAACCCUUAUCCCUAGUUGCCAUCAGGUAAAGCUGGGGAACUCUGGGGAGACUGCCGGUGAUAAACCGGAGGAAGGCGGGGAUGACGUCAAGUCCUCAUGGCCCUUACAUCCCGGGCUACACACGUGCUACAAUGGCAGGUACAGAGGGCUGCGAAGCCGCGAGGUGGAGCGAAUCCCAGAAAACCUGUCUCAGUCCGGAUUGAAGUCUGCAACUCGACUUCAUGAAGGCGGAAUCGCUAGUAACCGCGAAUCAGCAGGUCGCGGUGAAUACGUUCCCGGGCCUU